rnacentral:rRNA from 1 species
CAGUCGCCGCGGUAAAACGUAGGUGGCAAGCGUUGUCCGGAAUUAUUGGGCGUAAAGGGCUCGCAGGCGGUUUCUUAAGUCUGAUGUGAAAGCCCCCGGCUCAACCGGGGAGGGUCAUUGUAAACUGGGAAACUUGAGUGCAGAAGAGGAGAGUGGAAUUCCACGUGUAGCGGUGAAAUGCGUAGAGAUGUGGAGGAACACCAGUGGCGAAGGCGACUCUCUGGUCUGUAACUGACGCUGAGGAGCGAAAGCGUGGGGAGCGAACAGGAUUAGAUACCCCUGUAGUCCCUGUCUCUUAUAC